AAUUUGCUAGCAUGAAGGAUGACGACAGAAAGGAGGCGCCGUGCCCGCCGGAUACGGUUAAUCAGGUGGUAGAGAACCUGGGUAAGAACAGGACGUCGAUGGGGUAUGUGGAAAUAGAUCAGGUUACGGUGAGAGCUGAAGCCGGUGGCGAAUUGGAAGGAUUGGUGGCUGGAGGUGUGGAGCUAGGGCAACCUGAUUUCAUAGAGGAUGUGAGGUUUCAGUGAUCUUGUUGGUUGCCAGUGGCGGUGGAUAUAGAUGGCGCUGAAGCUUAUGAAAUUCAAGGAAAAGCUAUCAAUCUCAGUUGCAGCAGCAUUUCAGUCUGUAGCAUAAUAGCUUGCCCUUCACUAAGCUUGAGCAGAGGGGCAUUUCUUUAAUGGUGGGAUUAUUUGAAAUUUCUUCUAGAAAUAUGAAGAUCCUCUGUCCACAUGUUUAAAAGGAGAGAAAAAAAGAGGGAGAGAUAAAGAGUUCUUCCUCUGCAUUUGAGAUUCGAAUCCAACAAUUUUACUGCAAUUUCUAAGACAUGCAAAGUUGUCAAUUGUUAUUGAUAACUAUUUCUUACAUACUCAUAAUAUAGCUGACCAUUAUUUUCUUCUUC